rfam:Fukomys damarensis contig119102, whole genome shotgun sequence.
AAAACGGCUUUUUUCAAAGCCACACAGCUAGUAACUGGCAGAACUG